rnacentral:lncRNA from 1 species
GUGUGAGAGAGAGAGAGAGAGAGAGAGAGAGAGAGAGAUGCAUGGGGGUACACAUGCCAUUGCAUGCAUGUGGAUGUCAGGGGACAACUUUGUGGAGUCAGUUUUCUCCUUUUGCCUUUUUGUAGAUUCCAGGGAUUGAACUUAGGUCACCAGGCUUGCACGGCAAGCACCUCUACUUGCUAAGCCAUCUCGCUGGCCCCCUUGGCAGAGUAUCUUAUCUGGACCCACAAAAAAACAUUUUGAGGAAAGGGUAUUUACUUUAUAGCUGAAAAGCUGAGGUUCAGAGGUAUCAAGGUGGGAAAAGAAAUUAAAUUUUUUUUUGUUUAUUUUUUGAGAUAGGGACUCACUACAUAACCCUGGCUGUCCUGGUACUUUCUGGAUAGAUCAGGCUGUCCUCAAACCCACAGAGACCUGCCCACUUCCAUCUCCUACGUGCUGGCUGUAUGAGCCCUCUACCACUCAGUUACAUCUUGGCUCCUCGUAACCUUCCCCCGAGACCCUUUCCUCCCCAGAUUUUACAUGUGCAUUCCCUUCCGGUGCCCCUCACCUUUGCACCCAGUACCUUUUGCUUCUUUGAGGUUGUUUAGCCUGGAUGCCUCAGCACCCCACGUUAAUUUAUUCCCAGAUGCCCAGCUCCAGUGCGAUCUUGCAGAAUCUGCUCCCAGCUCAUCUCCAUCCAAACGUAGCCUCACUGGCUUCAGGUCCUGUGCUUGCACCACCGUCUCAGUAUUCGGUCCUGUGUGCUGCACAAGCUUUGCUUGUAGCUGGUAGAGCAAGCUCGCAGGAGUCAAGGGCUCAAACCCCAGGCCCUUCAUACCCCUCUGUGACCUUGCGUGUAUCAAUUCACCUGAAACGUCAUUUCCUUCAUUUCUAAGGGAGAGACGGUUGGGAAGGUCAAGAUGUCAUGAUGCUUCCGAAUCCAAUGGUGCCACUGUAGAGCCCUCGGCAGGGCGAAAGGGAGCCCCUGGCAGACUCUGAGGCCCUGCUAGUUGGAUUUCCUUCCCAGACCCCAUGUGCAACCUGACACAGAACAGCUGUGGAUGUCCUCAGGGUCAUUUCCCCCAAAUACCAAACGGGUCCCUGCAGAUGCCACAGACCUGGGGCUUGCCUGCGUUUUUUGGCAUUUCUUCAUCACCCCCUCGGUGUGGGGCAAGACUUGGCUGGGCCCACAGCCAGCAAUAAAGCGGAUGCUAAUCAUAUCAUUAUAUGCUGAAUAAUUAACUGUCAUUUAAAUAUUCAUAUGUUGUUGGGGGCAAGGCCUUUUAUCAGUAUCUGGGGACAUGUCAGCAGAGGAAAGAGAUGGAUGUCGCCAAGGCUGACUCCGCCUGUGAAGGGCGACCUGGGGUCCAGGGAGAGCCAUUGCAGUGGUCACCAGACAGUCAGCUAAUAUAUAACUGCAAUAUUCUCACGUGAUAAACGGCAACUUCAUAAACGCUUGAUGCAUAUGAGCAACCCUAAAACAAUAUUGGAAGCAUUAAUUUCAUUUGACUAAUGCUUAUCUAUAUUUUAUUCUGUUGCCAUCUCUAAAGAAGCCCCUCUUUCCUUCAGGGGAAGGGCGGUAGGGCUGGAGGGCCACUGAUGGACGACAGCAGCCAAGGGGGGCACUUUCCGUUAGCCCUGCCUUUAAGAUGACGAGAUUUGGGACUGGCUCUGAGCUUUGAAGACCUGUCUGAGAGUCUGUGUGAAAUCCUGCCUGAGUCCCUGUCGGGGAACUCAGCCUCUCUGGUGGCAUUACAGGAGAGUGGCAUGGGUAUCUCAGGCUUGGCCAGGUAAAGCAAAGUUGUAUAGGUGCCCUCUUGCUGUCAUGGAGGAAUCAAGAGGGGAGGCCUUGAAGACAGAAGUAUAGUCAGGUGGGGAGUAUUAUGAAGUGACUCUUCUAUAGUGGGGUGUGGGUGGUUGUGGUGGUUUGAAUAUGCUUGGCCCAGGGAAUGGGACUAUUAGGAGGUGUGACCUUGUUGGAGGAAGUCACUGUAGGAGUGGUCUUUUAGACCCUCCUUCCAACUAUGUGGGAGUCAGUCUUCUCUUGGUUGCCAUUGGAACAAGAGGUAGACCUCUCAGCAUCUCCAGCGCUAUGCCUGCCUGGAUGCUGCCAUGCUUCCUGCCAUGAUGAUAACGGAUUGAACCUCUGAACCUGUAAGCCAGCACCAAUUGAAUGUUGUCCUUGUAAGAGUUGCCUUAAUCAUGGUUUCUGUUCACAGCAGUAAAACCCUAACUAAGACAAAUAGGAAGGGACCCGGAGGAGAGAAAGGGAACAGAGGGAGGGUGUGAAGGAACACGAAAGCCAAGAGGGAGAGAACGGCACCUGGAGGUCUGGUGAUGGGUGAGCUGGCUGUUCUGGAGGAGCGAAGCAGCUUGGUGGGGGGGGGGGUUAGUAACAAUGGUUCUAGAAUUGGAUAGCCAUGGGCUGGGCUCUAGCUGUGCCAUUAACUAGCUGUAGGACUCCUGGAUCCUCUUUUUUUAACCCUCAGUUUCCACUUGUGUAAUAGGAGCCACUGUGCUUCAGGGGUGGGCUGAUGACUUAUCGGGUUGCUCUUCUGGGGUCUCACAGAGCUCCAUCAAAUGUCAUCGAUUGGGAGGCUCAAAUUGUGGGUGGUGGUAGAGGUGAUGUCGGUGGCAAUGUCAGUGGUGAUGGUGGUAAAGUUGGGAGGCGAUGGCAGUGGGAAUGGUAGUGGUGACAUUGUUGAUGGCAGUGGUGAUGGUUGUGGUGAUGUUGGAGGCGAUGGUGAUGGUGGUGGCGGUGGCGAUGGUGGUGGCCGUGGUGGUGGUGGUGGGUGUCUGCUUUCAAGAACUCUCUGCAGUUUGCUGACUUUUGUUUCCUUUCAGGAUCUGACGCUGGCUGGUUGUCUGCCAAGGAGACCCUCAAUUCUGAGUGGCCCAUGGUCACUGGCCCUGGGAAUUUCUUCAGCAUGGCUGCUGACUACAUCAAGCAAGAACCUGUUCCUAAGACAGAGCUUAUAUGAUACAUAGUGAUCAUGAAGUAUGGAGGGACACUGUCACCUUUCCAGGUUUACUAAUGAGUGACAGGUUCUGCUAACAUAUAUGGGAGGGGAUAGUACAGGGGUAUGAAUACCAGGGGCCUGGGUUGCUGAGUGACCCUCAAGCCUUUACAUCAUAUCUGACAAGGUUAGCAGUGAGUGCUCUCAGUACCAGGUACUCACGGUCCCUGCGUUUUGUGAACUUUCUCACCUGACCCACAGAAUAACCCAAGAAGAGCAGUAACUGCCCUCACUGUACCAAUGGAGGAAUGUGAGGUCAAGGAUCCUGGUAGGGGUUCAACAGGGGAAGGCAGGAGCACUGUGGAAUUGGUCAUAGACACCAUGUGAUCCAACACCCAGGGUUGCCAGUGAAGACAAACCUCAGAAGACUCUCAGGACAUGCCCUGGCCCUGUUCCACUUUGCCAGGACACGUGACAACACUGGGUCAUGCAGGUGACUCCAGGACAAGCUCUCUGUGGUAAAGCCAACAGGUGCAUCAGACCCUGGAUCAUCCGAAGUCUAACUUAGCGCUCAGGCUGGUGUCUGACAUAUUCUUGAUUCACUGGAACGAGGACUGAAUACUGUCAGUCCCAGCAGUCCUCUGAGGAUGGUUUUAGGAACUCCAUCCUGCAGGAGGGAGGGGCCUGAGAGUGUGUGACACCUGCUCAAAUAACAGUGUCAGAGCCAGGAUUUUGGAUUCUGAGGCCCGAGUUUUUGUUUCGUUGUUUUGUUUUCUCACCAGCGGCCGCCCACCUAGCCACCUGGCAGGCAUUUGGGGGAGAUUCGGAAAUGUUUCCUCUUUGCUGCCAUCCUGUCUAGUAUCUGUGAAACACCCAUCACUCACCAGCUGCAGACAUUCUCCAGAAAGCUUCAGAACACCCUCGCAAAGGUGUCUGCUAUUGCCCCCAUUUUACAGAUGUGGAAGCAGGUUGAAGGAGGCUUCCUAGUAACUGACUGAGCUGCUUCCCGAGGUAAGGGUCAGAGUGACUGGGAUACAGGCUGGAGAGGGAUGACCUGCAAACCCAGCUUGGCAAGGGUUGGCAGGAGCAGAGGAGGGUCAGGAGAAGCUCCUAGAAGUCUCUUUCCCCUACUGGCCUUUGAGGGCAGAGGUGAGAUUUGGUAGACUCUUGAUAGGAAUUGUUCUGUGUGCAAGCAAGAACCGAGUUAGGUGGAGUGUAAGCAUUCUAGCCUGGCCUGGGUUGUCCCGAGUCCCUUCUGGUUUCAGUCUUGAACUUGUCCUUCCCUGCAAUGCAGAGAUGCGCAGGUGGGAGGGGAGGAUCUAUAGGCUGCUGUGUACAACUGGUCCUUAAGGUUUCUAUCAACCCCAUCCACAAUUUUUCCCACCAGCCUCCUGCCAGCACCAUGGAGUGAAGAGCAGUCUGGCCCAGGAUGCUGAGUUGGAUCCACUUAGACAUUCUCCAGCCCCCCCCCCCCCCAGUGCAUCCCUGUCCCUCCAUCCUUGCUGUACAGUGGUCUGCCUUCCUGCUCACAACCAGGCUCGGCAGGAAAAGCAGCCUACUCCUCCAGUUUCCCUGCUUCCUAAACAUUGCUGAUGCCCGAAGGCUGCUCUCAGCUCUUCUCCUGGGUGGGUGCAUUUAUUUAUUCCUCCUCUCAUUCAUUUGUUGAUUCAUUCAGCAAGUAGUUUCUGAGCUCUUAGGCUCUCCUAGGUUGGGAACACAGCAGUGACCCCAGCUGACCGGUCUGUCCUCUCUACAGAGGUUACCACACUGAAUGGAUAGACGUGCCGGCUUUUAGUGAGCAACACAGGCCUUGAUGCCAGUAAAACACGAGGCAUGAUGGAAAGGGACUGGCCAUUGCUUUGGUUUGCAGACAGAGAUCCCAUCAUCUGCAGGAGGAUUUGAGUGUGAUGAAGCCAUUCAUAGGAAGAUCUAGAUGAAGAACAUCCCAUGCUCAGUGAGCAGGAAGUACAAAGGCCCUGGGGUUAGAGAGAACUUUUCCGACUCCAGGAACCAGAGGAGGCUGGCCUUAGCGGUGACAACAGGCAGGAUCUUGGUGACACUUUCUAUUUCCCCGUAAGUACAAUAGCAGCUCUUGGGGGCUUGGGUCUAGGGAAAACUCUGACUUGAUUUAUAUGUCUCUCUCUGCCUUUUGUACUGAUAACAGAGAGACCAUUAAGAGCUCUGAGGUCAGAAGAUGGAGCAGUCAUUAUUUAAGUGCCUGCGUGUAAACAUGAAGAGCAGAGUUCAGUCAAACAAGCUGGGCAUGGUGCCAUGAGCUUGUAAUCCUUAGGUUGGAGAGAUGGAGACAAGAGACUUCUAGGGACGAGCUGGCUAGUCAGUCUAGGCAAAUAAGUGAACUUCAGGUUCAGGAGAGACUCCAUCUCAAAGGAGGCGGAUGCUGUUCUUGAUGACAUCACCGAAAGUUGUCUUUAGCUUUUCACACACUUUCCUGCAAGCAUGUACGCACACACACACACACACACACACAUACACAUGAAAAAAAUAAUUGUGCCAGUUACUAGUCCAACAUCACAGUCUUCUACAGAUACUCAGUAUCCCAUCCUAGCUCCUUUAGGUCUUACACCGACACAUCGCGUUCCAGGAAUAACUUUAUCCCUUACCUUUUCAAAGUUCCUGUUCAGUCCUCAGAACCCAGCUCCUGGGUAUCCUUCUGGGGAGCCCUUCUCCCUCACCCGUGGCAGGAUAAAUUCACACCCUCACUGCCAUUACCAGUUCUAACAACAGGCUCAUACAGUGUGUUUCUCGUCCCUCUUUCCACUAGGUCAGGAGUCCUUCCAACAUGAAGAUCUAACUCUGAUGGUCUUGGAGACCACAGACCUUCCCUAGCCUGGUCUGGGAGGGAUGCCUGGCAAAUGCUUUCUGGGCUAACGUGAGUUAUUUGAGCACUCGAGUCGCUAGCAGAAGCACUGCGUUAGCGAGUCCCCUUUGUUUGAACAAACAAGAUUAGAAGCAUUGCACUGUUUGUUCUUCCUGGUGAGGCUCUAGCAAAUCCACACUUUGUGGGACUUCUGGCCUCUGGAGGGCCCCUCAGUGUUUUCUAAAAGCAUAGCCCGUGAGAGUUAAAAUUUGAAUAGAUAUCUCUCAAGAGCUGGUCCUGUAUUCCUGUAUUACCUUGAGACAAAUGUUUGUUAAUAUAUAUAUAUAUAUAUAUAUGUAUUCUAGUUGCUAGAAUACAUGUUGUAAAUACUUGCGUUUGAAAAUGUACACUUCCGGGAUGCUUUGUGGGUUCCUGUGCAUGUUCACGUACGACUAGAAAUCUGUUUGUCACAGAUGCUUCCCAGGUCUGGUGGUUGUUUUCUCUAUCCUAAUUAAUCUAUUGAUGUAGAAUUAUGCAUCUUUCCCCAUAAGCCGGGAGUGUAUUUAAAAGCUCAUUUCCUUGCCUGAGAUACAUGCAAAUAAAAGUUAAAG